rnacentral:rRNA from 1 species
AAGUAAUUUAAGAGCUUACGGUGGAUACCUUGGUAUCUAGAAGCGAUGAAGGGCGUGACUACCAACGAAAUGCUUCGGGAAGCUGGAAGUAAGCUAUGAUCCGGAGGUACCCGAAUGAGGAAACUCUUUAAUACUACCUACUGAAUUAAUAAGAAGGUAAGAGCAAACCUAGCGAACUGAAACAUCUUAGUAACUAGAGGAAAAGAAAGCAAAAGCGAUUCCCUUAGUAGCGGCGAGCGAAAAGGGAACAGCCUAAACCACUUUAACAAGUUUUAGUGGGGUUGUGGGACAAAUAAUCAAAGAUAAAAAAAGUUAGAUGAAGCAUCUGGAAUGUUGUAUCAUAGAAGGUGAUAAUCCUGUAAUCGAAAACUAAAUAGUCUUUAUUUGUAUCCCAAGUAGCAUGGAGCACGUGAAAUUCCGUGUGAAUCAGCGAGGACCACCUCGUAAGGCUAAAUAUUCCUAGAUGACCGAUAGUGAAACAGUACCGUGAGGGAAAGGUGAAAAGAACCCCGGAAGGGAAGUGAAAUAGAACAUGAAACCGUAAGCUUACAAGCAGUAGGAGAACGACUUAACGUUUGACUUCGUGCAUGUUGAAGAAUGAGCCGGCGACUUACAGGCAGUGGCAGGUUAAGAUAGAGAAUAUCGAAGCCAUAGUGAAAGCGAGCUUGAAUAGAGCGUUUGUCACUGUUUGUAGACCCGAACCCGGAUGAUCUAGUCAUGGCCAGGGUGAAGCUUAGGUAACACUAAGUGGAGGUCCGAACCGACUGAUGUUGAAAAAUCAGCGGACGAGCUGUGAUUAGGGGUGAAAUGCCAAUCGAAUCCGGAGCUAGCUGGUUCUCCCCGAAAUGCGUUUUGGCGCAGCGGUUGAUGCUUAAUCUUAGGGGUAAAGCACUGUUUCGGUGCGGGCUGCGAAAGCGGUACCAAAUCGAGGCAAACUCUGAAUACUAAGUGUGUAGUCAAUCAGUGAGACAGUGGGGGAUAAGCUUCAUUGUCAAAAGGGAAACAGCCCAGACCACCAGUUAAGGCCCCUAAAUAAUAUCUAAGUGAUAAAGGAAGUGGGAACGCAAAAACAACCAGGAGGUUUGCUUAGAAGCAGCAAUCCUUUAAAGAGUGCGUAAUAGCUCACUGGUCUAGUGAUCCUGCGCCGAAAAUGAAUGGGACUAAGUUAUUUGCCGAAACUGUGGGAUGUUUACAUCGGUAGGGGAGCGUUCUGUUUUAGAUUGAAGCAUUAGUGUAAACGGAUGUGGACGAAGCAGAAGUGAGAAUGUCGGCUUGAGUAGCGAAAACAUUGGUGAGAAUCCAAUGCCCCGAAAACCUAAGGUUUCCUUUGGAAGGUUCGUCCGCGAAGGGUUAGUCAGGUCCUAAGGCGAGGUUGAAAAGCGUAGUCGAUGGAUAACAGGUUAAUAUUCCUGUACUAUUUGUUAUUGAUAUCGAGGGACGGAGAAGGCUAAAUCAGCCGGAUUUUGGUUACCGGUUUAAAUUUUUGAAGGUGAAGAUAGAUGGCGAAAACAUCUUGAGCUAAAAAAUGAGUACAAGGUACUAUGGUACUAAAGUGAUUGAUGUCAUACUUCCUAGAAAAGCUCGAAAUAUCUUAGAUAACAAAUACCUGUACCUUAAACCGACACAGGUAGGUAAGUAGAGUAUACUAAGGGGCGCGAGAUAACUCUCUCUAAGGAACUCGGCAAAAUAGCCCCGUAACUUCGGAAGAAGGGGUGCCCUUGUAGGGUUGCAAUAACUAGGCCCAAGCGACUGUUUAUCAAAAACACAGGUCUCCGCGAAGUCGUAAGAUAAUGUAUGGAGGCUGACGCCUGCCCAGUGCCGGAAGGUUAAAGAAGUUGGUUAGUGUUGAACAAAGCUAGCGACUGAAGCCCCGGUGAACGGCGGCCGUAACUAUAACGGUCCUAAGGUAGCGAAAUUCCUUGUCGGGUAAGUUCCGACCCGCACGAAAGGCGUAACGAUUUGGGUACUGUCUCGGAGAGAGACUCGGCGAAAUAGAAUUGUCUGUGAAGAUGCGGACUACCUGCACCUGGACAGAAAGACCCUAUGAAGCUUUACUGUAGCUUGGAAUUGAAUUUGGGUAUACUUUGCGCAGUAUAGGUGGGAGGCAAAAAUAAUAUAUUUGCGGAUAUAUAGUAGCCAAUAGAAAAAAAAAAA